UGAGGCAGGAGAAUUGCUUGAACCCAGGAGGUGGAGGCUGCAGUGAGCCGAGAUUGCACCACUGUACUCCAGCCUGGGUGACAGAGCGAGAUUCUGUCUC
rnacentral:miRNA from 1 species